AUUGAUUUUAUGCUUGCAUAAAUGAUUUUUGGAUUCGGAGCGAGUGGCGAACUGGUGAGUAACACGUGGGUAACCUGCCCCGAAGCGGGGGAUAACAUUUGGAAACAAGUGCUAAUACCGCAUAAUUAGUUGGAACCGCAUGGUUCCAACUUGAAAGAUGGCUCUGCCAUCACUUUGGGAUGGACCCGCGCCGUAUUAGUUAGUUGGUGAGAUAAAAGCCCACCAAGACGAUGAUACGUAGCCGACCUGAGAGGGUAAUCGGCCACAUUGGGACUGAGACACGGCCCAGACUCCUACGGGAGGCAGCAGUAGGGAAUCUUCCACAAUGGACGAAAGUCUGAUGGAGCAACGCCGCGUGAGUGAUGAAGGUUUUCGGAUCGUAAAACUCUGUUGUUAAAGAAGAACAAGUGUUAGAGUAACUGUUAACACUUUGACGGUAUUUAACCAGAAAGCCACGGCUAACUACGUGCCAGCAGCCGCGGUAAUACGUAGGUGGCAAGCGUUGUCCGGAUUUAUUGGGCGUAAAGCGAGCGCAGGCGGUUUUGUAAGUCUGCUGUGAAAGCCCUCAGCUCAACUGAGGAAGUGCAGUGGAAACUACAAAACUUGAGUACAGAAGAGGAAAGUGGAACUCCAUGUGUAGCGGUGAAAUGCGUAGAUAUAUGGAAGAACACCAGUGGCGAAGGCGGCUUUCUGGUCUGUUACUGACGCUGGGGCUCGAAAGCAUGGGUAGCGAACAGGAUUAGAUACCCUGGUAGUCCAUGCCGUAAACGAUGAAUACUAGGUGUUGGAGGGUUUCCGCCCUUCAGUGCCGCAGCUAACGCAUUAAGUAUUCCGCCUGGGGAGUACGACCGCAAGGUUGAAACUCAAAGGAAUUGACGGGGGCCCGCACAAGUGGUGGAGCAUGUGGUUUAAUUCGAUGCUACGCGAAGAACCUUACCAGCUCUUGACAUCUUCUGCCAACCCAGGAGAUUGGGCGUUCCCUUCGGGGACAGAGUGACAGGUGGUGCAUGGUUGUCGUCAGCUCGUGUCGUGAGAUGUUGGGUUAAGUCCCGCAACGAGCGCAACCCUUAUUAUUAGUUGCCAGCAUUUAGUUGGGCACUCUAGUGAGACUGCCGGUGAUAAA
rnacentral:rRNA from 1 species